AGACCUUAGUUUUGGGUGAAAUUUUCUAGGGAAGAAAAAAACCUAAUUCCUGUGUCUUUUCUUCAUGAUUUCGGGGUUUUGUUUAUUUGCAGCUUUAACCGUUAUUGGUUUAGAGACUAAAGGAGCUGUAGUAAUUGCUGGUUUCUUCUUUGUUCUGCGGUUGUUUGCUUACAAAUUGACCUACUCAUUUUUGUCAAUUACUGGAUGUAAUUUGGAAAUGAAAAAGAAGCGAGAGAUUCAUCUGUGCUUUUGGGAAGUUGAAUCAGGAUUAAUGCUUGCUGUUAUAAUUUGUGUUUUUGUUACCAAAUGGCAGUCUUUCAAGGUUAAAAGGAAUCUGUCUCUUGUCUCUUGCAAUAGGGAUGUUUAUCCAGAAAUGUUAAAGGAAUCUGUCUGUUGUAGUGUUGGCUGCCAAGGGUUUCUUUCAGACUCCAGAAUCUGGAUUCCUGUAUGACACUUCCGGAAUUUCUCUUUUUUUCGUCAGGUAUCAGGUCCAGUCGUCGUUUGCCGAUGGAGUGGCAAGGGCUGCUAUGUAUGACCUCAUACAUGUUGGUCAUGACAGUCUUUUUGGGGAAAUUAUAUGAUUAGAAGGAGAUCUUGCUAUAGUAUGGGCUUUGAUGAAUGUUGCAUUAUUUCAUUAUUUUCUUUCACUCAAGAUGGAAAAAGAGCUGAAUGUGAUAUUGGACCCUGGCGAGGCACAGCCAGCUAUUAGCUGUACUGGUGAUAGUGGUCCUGUGUCUUACCUUGAACAAGUCGUUUCUCCCAUUUCUGAGACAAUGGUUAAGACAACUAAAAGUAGUUUUGUGGAGCACCAGACAAUUGAAGUUUUCACCGGCUUAUUUUUGGUCUUAACGAUUCAGGUUGUUACAUUCAGAUAGUUGAUCGGAAGUUCCAUAUUUGCUAUUCAAUGGUUUGGUAAUAGAUGCGUGCUUGCUUUCACACCUACAGAGUCUGACAAUUAUAGCUUUCAAUGACGGAAACAAUGGACAAAAACUACAUGGAUAAAAAGUAGGUCUUAAUUAAACUGUCAUCAAUCAAUACUCUAACCACAACAAUGGACAUCCAACUGUUAGAGAUAUAAGUGUGUGAAUAGUUUGUGUCAAGUUAACUGGUCAAUAUUGACUUGACUUGUAUUAUUACACCCAAUGUUUGUCUUUAAAUACUUGUAAUAAUACUUUCUUAGUUUGUAUUGAAAACAAUUCUUUACAAUACCAUCAACUUCAGUG